rnacentral:rRNA from 1 species
CCUACGGGUGGCAGCAGUGGGGAAUAUUGCACAAUGGGGGAAACCCUGAUGCAGCGACGCCGCGUGAGUGAAGAAGUAAUUCGUUACGUAAAGCUCUAUCAGCAGGGAAGAAAUACUGACCUUACGGUCAGCAGACGGUACCUGAGUCAGAAGCCCCGGCUAACUACGUGCCAGCAGCCGCGGUAAUACGGCGGGGGCAAGCGUUAUCCGGAUUUACUGGGUGUAAAGGGGGCGUAGACGGUGCGCCAAGUCUGGAGUGAAAUGCCGCAGCUUAACUGCGGAACUGCUUUGGAAACUGGCGAACUAGAGUGCGGGUGGGGUAAGCGGAAUUCCUAGUGUAGCGGUGAAAUGCGUAGAUAUUAGGAGGAACACCGGUGGCGAAGGCGGCUUACUGGACCGUAACUGACGUUGAGGCUCGAAAGCGUGGGGAGCAAACAGGAUUAGAUACCCUUGUAGUC